GGCCUAAUGGCCCAAUGGCAAGGCGCUUGACUACGAUUGAAUCCACAUCAAGAGAUUCCAGGUUCGACCCCUGGUUAGGUCA
rnacentral:tRNA from 1 species